rnacentral:rRNA from 1 species
CCUACGGGUGGCAGCAGUGAGGAAUAUUGGUCAAUGGUCGGGAGACUGAACCAGCCAAGCCGCGUGAGGGAUGAAGGUCCAGAGUAUCGUAACCCUCUUUUGUCAGGGAACAAAGGCGGGGACGUGUCCACGGAUGAGUGUACCUGAAGAAAAAGCAUCGGCUAACUCCGUGCCCGCAGCCUCGGUAAUAGGGAGGAUGCGAGCGUUAUCCGGAUUUAUUGGGUUUAAAGGGUGCGCGGGCGGUCUGUUAAGUCAGCGGUAAAAGCCAGGGGCUCAACCCCGGCCCGCCGUUGAAACUGGCAGUCUCGAGUUGGAGAGAAGUAUGCGGAAUGCGCGGUGUAGCGGUGAAAUGCAUAGAUAUCGCGCAGAACUCCGAUUGCGAAGGCAGCAUGCCGGCUCCACACUGACGCUGAGGCACGAAAGCGUGGGUAUCGAACAGGAUUAGAUACCCUUGUAGUC